AACAAAACGUAAAAACGAAAAAUAAAUAAAUUUGUUUCAUCAAAUAAAAUUUCAAAUGUUUAUUUACUUUGUUUGUUUGGGGAGAGAGAAAAGGGAAGGGAGAGAACAAGUUUUAAGAUAGAUAAAGGGGACAUUUUUAGAUUUUGCUUGCAAAGCCAAAAUCAAAGCUCCCUCGUUCUGAUUUGCAGACUAAAUCCAAAGGACAAAUAAACAGCCUAUAGAGAGAGAAAAAACUAAACGAAGAAACUAGAUAACGCGAAGAACAGCAACAGCAAAUCAAAGGAACAACAAGUGGGGAAAAAAACCGAGAGAAUGAGAUAGUGAAUUUUUUUUGACGAAAAGAGGUUCAUUUCAAUUAUUUUUUCCUUGUGAAUUUUCCCUUAUCCAAUCAAAAGAAUUUGUUCCUCUUGACAUCGUUUAUUUCGGGGGAGGACAAUAGAACUUGUGGUCGUUACAGUGAUUUGAAAAUUCCCAUUGUUGUUUUGGGGAUUUUCCCGUCCGAGGUAGGGAGGGGGCAAAAGAGUCAUGUUGGAGAACCGGUCCUGCAAGUCCUGUUUAGUGUUUGCCAGUUCUUGUCAACGAGGAAGAAAGCGGGCUUACAUGUACCAUGGAAAGCGCCCAAGAGAAUUCACCGAUUCCGAUGGUUGUCCGGAAACCAAGUUGUCUAAGGUUUCUUCCGAUGAUUCCUCCAGUGACGAUAAUAAUAAUAACACUUCUUCCCCACAAGACUCAGAUGACCUUGUCUUGCCAGAUUCGCCUGACCAAUCCGAUGAUGAUGGUAAGAGAUCCAGUUCUUCUUCGGAUAUGGAUUCUUCACUUAUCCACCACAGCCCCAUUGGUCUAGGCAAAUCGGAUUUGGAUAACCAAUCAGACAAUGAAAGCCUGUCAGAUUCCGUGGAAGAGUCGCUGGUGGAGCAAUCUGAGGAAGAUGGUGGUAAUGAUAAUAAUGGCAUCUCUGAUUCUCCAAAGGAGGAUUGUCACCACAGACAUGGUGGGAAUUCACCAUCUGACUUGGAUGCAUUAAUCCAACCAAUUGGGCGAGAUAAUGAUAAUGACUUCUCUGAUUCUCCGGAGGAUGGUCACCACAGACAUACUGGGGAUUCUUCAUCCGACUUGGAUGCAUUAAUCCAACCAAUUGGGAGAGAUAACUCAAUCAGUUGUCUGAUUAAGUGCUCGAGGUCUGAUUAUGGUUCCAUUGCCAUGUUGAAUCGAAGUUUUCGUUCCUUAAUCAGGAGUGGAGAGAUCUAUAAGUUGAGGAGACAGAAUGGUGUUGUUGAGCAUUGGGUUUACUUUUCUUGUCACCUCCUUCAAUGGGAAGCAUUUGAUCCUAUUAGACAUAGGUGGAUGCAUUUGCCAAGGAUGCCUCCCAAUGAAAUUGAAUGUUUCAUUUUUUCAGAUAAGGAAUCACUGGCUGUGGGAACUGAGUUACUCGUCUUUGAGACUUCUCAGGUUAUAUAUAGAUAUAGUAUUUUAACAAAUUCAUGGACUUUUGGGACCAGUAUGAAUGCUCCAAGGUGCUUGUUUGGAUCAGCUAGUCUUGGAGAGAUUGCAAUUUUAGCUGGUGGUUUUGAUUCUCAGGGUAAUAUCCUGAGCUCUGCAGAAAUGUACAAUUCUGAGACUCAGAAAUGGGAGACUUUGCCAAGCAUGAAUAAGCCAAGGAGGAUGUGUAGCGGGGUAUUUAUGGAUAAGAAAUUUUAUGUGAUCGGAGGAAUUGGUGGGAAGGAUGCACAGGUUCUCACUUGUGGCGAGGAGUAUGAUUUAGAGACAAAAAAGUGGACUGAAAUUCCUAACAUGUCUCCUGGAAGGAGUAGAGUUGAGGCAGAUAUGCCUGCAGCAGCUGUGGCACCCCCUCUGGUUGCAGUAGUUAAUAAUGAACUGUAUGCUGCUGAUCAUGCUGACAUGGAGGUUAAGAAGUAUGAUAAGGAAGCAAACUCAUGGUUGACUAUCGGAAGAUUGCCUGAAAGGGCAGUAUCAAUGAACGGUUGGGGUCUUGCUUUCAGAGCAUGUGGAGAUCGCCUUAUAGUGAUUGGUGGACCUAGGGCUUUGGGUGAAGGUUUUAUUGAGCUCAAUUCUUGGGUUCCGAGCGAAGGGCCUCCAGAAUGGAACUUGCUUGCCAGAAAGCAAUUGGGUAACUUUGUGUAUAAUUGUGCUGUGAUGGGAUGCUAAGAGAUGGAUUGUGGUGGCAUCUUGUGCAGUUGAACGGUAUUGCACUGCCACCAGGGUCUGCAUGGUUGCUUUUUUCUUCAACACAGAACUCCGAAUUUUUACUAUUGUGACAUGAGAACUUGCGGAGGCUGGCGUCAUGUAGCACAGGAGUAUGUUUAAUAAUUUGAAGUAUCAACACAUUGGUAGGUUGCCAUUAGAGUUUGCUGAAGUUUUUUUAAGAACACAGAACUGGUCAUACGGGUUCCUUCUUUAAAUUUUCUCGGAAUUGUCUUCAAGGGAGGAAAUAAGUUCUGGAGGUGGUUAUCUUUAGAUGUUGGCUGAUGUACUGAUUACAUUGAUCAUUACAAUUCAUGAACUGUAUACUCCCAGAAUUUUUCUUAUGUACACUCUGGAAUCCUUUAUUGUUUUUAGUUUCUUUUGUUCA